rnacentral:lncRNA from 1 species
CCUGGCUCAGCCUCCGGAGUAGCUGAGACUAUAGGCGUCCGCCACCUCGCCCGGCUAGUUUUUUUGUAUUUUUUAGUAGAGACGGGUUUCACCAUGAUAGCCAGGAUGGUCUCGAUCUCCUGACCUCGUGAUCCGCCCGUCUCGGCCUCCCAAAAUGCUGGGAUUACAGGCUUGAGCCACCGCGCCCGGCCCUUUUCGCAUUUUCUUUAGAUUCAGCCCAGGGUCAGAAAUCCAGGCUCCUUUGCCCAUCUAAUAAGAAAGAAUGAAAGUUGAAAGCCACUCUCAGAAAUGGACAUGUAAGGAGACAUACCCAGAUCUGCAUUAUAGAAACAAAUGUUAAAGAAACAAUGCUGAAUAUUGGCUCAUAGAGACGAAGCAAAGAGAAGGGAGGAUUACUAAAGUAUAUAAUUUCAGUGUAGUUAUACAAGGUAAGUUUAUAUUAAAAAUGGGACUCUUUAAUAAACAUUUAGUAAAUAGCACAUUAAAAUGU